UACGAAGGGGGCUAGCGUUGCUCGGAAUUACUGGGCGUAAAGGGCGCGUAGGCGGAUAUUUAAGUUGGGGGUGAAAUCCCGGGGCUCAACCUCGGAAUUGCCUUCAAAACUGGAUAUCUUGAGUUCGGGAGAGGUGAGUGGAACUCCGAGUGUAGAGGUGAAAUUCGUAGAUAUUAGGAAGAACACCAGUGGCGAAGGCGGCUCACUGGCCCGGUACUGACGCUGAGGCGCGAAAGCGUGGGGAGCAAACAGG
rnacentral:rRNA from 1 species